rnacentral:rRNA from 1 species
AUGAAAAAACAUGAGAGUUUGGAGCUUGACUCGAAGAGGCGAGAGUCUGAGCUCGCGGCGGCCAUUGAAGAUGCCAAGUCUGCCAAGGCCGAAGCCCAGAAGGCCCUCCAGGAGGUUGAGGCAAUAAAAAAGAUAGCGGCGGGAGCAUUCGCAGACUUGCCCCGUAGCGUGUCGGAUGCCGCCGCCUUCUACCGAGCGGAGGAGGGAAGCUCGACGGAGAAGGUGUUCUGGUCUCAGUAUGCUGAGGCCGAACACCCGGUGCCCUUAAGCGACCAGCUGAAACAGCUGGUCGAGCUCCAUAAGGUGGCCGAACAGGCCAUGAACGGCCUCAUAGUCCGGCUGUGGCCUGGAGAGGCCAUGCCUGGGAGCUACUUCGGGCUGGUGAGGCGGCUGGUGGAGGCCUGUCCAAGGCUCGAAGUCAUCAAGCGCUCCGUAUGCAUCGAGGGUGCCCGUAGGGCGCUUGCCCGUGCGAAGGUGCACUGGGGCAAGCUGGAUGCUGAGAAGCUUGUGAAGGACGGGCCACCGCCGGGCAAGGAGCAUCGCAAGCCCGAGAUGUAUUAUGACGGCGUUCUGAAGGGUACCCGCCUUGUGGCGGAUAAAUGUUCCAUGAAUGUAAUUUUUCAGUGA